CCUACGGGCGGCAGCAGUGAGGAAUAUUGGUCAAUGGACGAGAGUCUGAACCAGCCAAGUAGCGUGAAGGAUGACUGCUCUAUGGGUUGUAAACUUCUUUUAUAUGGGAAUAAAACGUUCCCCGUGUGGGAUUUUGUAUGUACCAUAUGAAGCAGGAUCGGCUAACUCCGUGCCAGCCGCCGCGGUAAUACGGAGGAUCCGAGCGUUAUCCGGAGUUAUUGGGUUUAAAGGGAGCGUAGGUGGAUUGUUAAGUCAGUUGUGAAAGUUUGCGGCUCAACCGUAAAAUUGAAGUUGAAACUGGCAGUCUUGAGUACAGUAGAGGUGGGCGGAAUUCGUGGUGUAGCGGUGAAAUGCUUAGAUAUCACGAAGAACUCCGAUUGCGAAGGCAGUUCACUGGACUGCAACUGACACUGAGGCUCGAAAGUGUGGGUAUCAAACAGGAUUAGAUACCCUGGUAGUC
rnacentral:rRNA from 1 species